rnacentral:rRNA from 1 species
UACGAAGGGGGCAAGCGUUGUUCGGAUUUACUGGGCGUAAAGGGCGCGCAGGCGGCCCUUCAAGUCAGAUGUGAAAGCCCCGGGCUCAACCUGGGAACUGCAUUCGAUACUGGAUAGCUAGAGUUCGGCAGAGGGAAGCGGAAUUUCGGGUGUAGCGGUGAAAUGCGUAGAUACCUGGAGGAACACCGGUGGCGAAGGCGGCAUCCUGGACCGGCAUUGACGCUGAGGCGCGAAAGCCAGGGGAGCAAACGGG